rnacentral:rRNA from 1 species
UACAGAGGUCUCGAGCGUUAGGCGGAAUCACUGGGCUUAAAGCGUGUGUAGGCGGAUCGUUAAGUGCCUUGUGAAAUCCCACGGCUCAACCGUGGAACUGCUUGGCAUACUGGCGGUCUUGAGCAACCUAGGGGCGAGCGGAACAAACGGUGGAGCGGUGAAAUGCGUAGAUAUCGUUUGGAACGCCAAUGGUGAAAACAGCUCGCUGGGGAUGUGCCGACGCUGAGAUACGAAAGCCAGGGGAGCGAACGGG